rnacentral:rRNA from 1 species
GACGAACGCUGGCGGCGUGCUUAACACAUGCAAGUCGAACGGUAAGGCCCUUCGGGGUACACGAGUGGCGAACGGGUGAGUAACACGUGGGUGAUCUGCCCUGCACUUCGGGAUAAGCCUGGGAAACUGGGUCUAAUACCGGAUAGGACCACUGCCUGCAUGGGUGGUGGUGGAAAGCUUUUGCGGUGUGGGAUGGGCCCGCGGCCUAUCAGCUUGUUGGUGGGGUGAUGGCCUACCAAGGCGACGACGGGUAGCCGGCCUGCGAGGGUGACCGGCCGCGCUGGGACUGGGAUACGGCCCAGACUCCUACGGGAGGCAGCAGUGGGGAAUAUUGCACAAUGGGCGCAAGCCUGAUGCAGCAACGCCGCGUGAGGGAUGACGGCCUUCGGGUUGUAAACCUCUUUCAGCACCGACGAAGCGCAAGUGACGGUAGGUGCAGAAGAAGGACCGGCCAACUACGUGCCAGCAGCCGCCGUAA